CUCAAAGAUUAAGCCAUGCAUGUCUAAGUAUAAGCAAGUAUACUGCGAAACUGCGAAUGGCUCAUUAAAUCAGUUAUCGUUUAUUUGAUAGUACCUUUCUACUUGGAUAACCGUGGUAAUUCUAGAGCUAAUACAUGCGAAAAACCCCGACUCCGGGAGGGGUGUAUUUAUUAGAUAAAAAACCAACGCCCUUCGGGGCUCCGUGGUGAUUCAUGGUAACUCAGCGAAUCGCAUGGCCUUGCGCCGGCGAUGGUUCAUUCAAAUUUCUGCCCUAUCAACUUUCGAUGUUUAGGUAGUGUCUAAACAUGGUUUCAACGGGUAACGAAGAAUUAGGGUUCGAUCUCGGAGAGUUAGCCUGAGAAACGGCUAACACAUCCAAGGAAGGCAGCAGGCGCGCAAAUUACCCAAUCCCGAUGCGGGGAGGUAGUGACAAUAAAUAGUGAUGCAGGGCUCUUAUGGGUCUUGCAAUUGCAAUGAGUACAAUUUAAAUCCCUUAACGAGGAACAAUUGGAGGGCAAGUCUGGUGCCAGCAGCCGCGGUAAUUCCAGCUCCAAUAGCGUAUAUUAAAUUUGUUGCAUUUAAAAAGCUCGUAGUUGAACCUUGGGCCUGGCUGGCCGGUCCGCCUCACCGCGUGCACUGGUCCGGCCGGGCCUUUCCUUCUGGCAGAACCCCAUGGCCUUCGUUGGCCGUGGCGGGGAACCAGGACUUUUACUUUGAAAAAAUUAGAGUGUUCAAAGCAGGCCUUCGCUCGAAUACAUUAGCAUGGAAUAAUGGAAUAGGACGGCUCUCCUAUUUUGUUGGUUUCUAGGUGAGCCGUAAUGAUUAAUAGGGACGGUCGGGGGCGUCAGUAUUCAAUUGUCAGAGGUGAAAUUCUUGGAUUUAUUGAAGACUAACUACUGCGAAAGCAUUCGCCAAGGACGUUUUCAUUAAUCAGUGAACGAAAGUUAGGGGAUCGAAGACGAUCAGAUACCGUCGUAGUCUUAACCAUAAACUAUGCCGCCUAGGGAUCGGUGGAUGUUGCUUUUUUGACUCCAUCGGCACCUUACGAGAAAUCAAAGUCAGGUUAUGG
rnacentral:rRNA from 1 species